UGUUGUGAGUAUACUUGUUAAUACCCUUAAUGUUUAUUUUAACAGAAGUGGGCUUCUAAAAACUUUUAAGAUUUACUUACCUUUUGCAUAAUGGUUUAACUAUAUUUGGUGGAAUAUUCAUAAUCCCGAGCUAAGAAGAUCUAAGUCAGCCUCUUAUUUAGGGGUGGUUCUCGCCUAAUGUAGCAUUAUUAGGCUUAAAGGCUGACUUAGGAGUGAAAGGCUUACAAUUCUUAAGAUAUCUGGAUACUUAAGAAAUGUAUUUAGUACAGGUUGUUAGACAUUAAAGAAGUGAUGAGAUUUCUUUAUAGCAGAAUAAGAGUGCUAUUAUUAUUGUAGUUUAUGGUUAAUAUCUUUUAGCUAGAGCUUGAUUUAUCAUUUUUUACUAAGCAAAUCUGCAGUUUUAUUAAGUUAAGAAAACAAACUUACGUGUUUUCUUAGAUAAUGUUAAAAUUAGUAGUAUUUUCAAUUUUAAUGAAGGAACUCGGCAAAAUUUAUCCUCGACUGUUUAGCAAAAACAUAGCCUAAAGUAUUAAAUUUUAGGUGGGCCCUGCCCAGUGUAGAGUCAUUAUUAACGGCCGCAGUACCUUGACUGUGCUAAGGUAGCGUAAUCAGUUGGCUUUUAAAUGAAGUCGAGAAUGAACGGGUUUAUCGGGGAUUAACUGUCUCUGUUAAAGUUAGUCUAACUUACUUAGGGGGUGAAAAUUCCCUCAUUAUUAGAAAAAAGACGAGAAGACCCUAAGAGUUUAUUUGGACUAGGGACUUUAUGGCUAGCCGUCGCAAGAGCUGGUUCUGUUCGAACCGUGACCCCUACAUGAUCUGAGUUCAGACCGGCGUAAGCCAGGUCAGAUUCUAUCUUUUUAAAAAUGUUCCUAGUACGAAAGGACCGGACCAUUACAA
rnacentral:rRNA from 1 species